rnacentral:rRNA from 1 species
GGAGUCUAGCAUGUGCGCGAGUCAUUGGGACUCUUAUACUAAACCUAAAGGCGAAAUGAAAGUGAAGGCGCGCCUCGCGCGCGCCUAGGGAGGAUGGGCGAGGCUACGUCCUCGCCCCGCACUCCCGGGGCGUCUCGUUCUCAUCGCGAGAAGAGGCGCACCCAGAGCGUACACGCUGGGACCCGAAAGAUGGUGAACUAUGCCUGGUCAGGACGAAGUCAGGGGAAACCCUGAUGGAGGUCCGUAGCGAUUCUGACGUGCAAAUCGAUCGUCGGAACUGGGUAUAGGGGCGAAAGACUAAUCGAACCAUCUAGUAGCUGGUUCCCUCCGAAGUUUCCCUCAGGAUAGCUGGCGCUCGCAAUUUUGCGAGUCUCAUCCGGUAAAGCGAAUGAUUAGAGGCAUUGGGGUCGAAACGGCCUCAACCUAUUCUCAAACUUUAAAUGGGUGAGAUCUCCGGCUUGCUUGAACAACGUAUCUUGAAGCCGCGAGAUCGGAUCAGAGUGCCAAGUGGGCCACUUUUGGUAAGCAGAACUGGCGCUGUGGGAUGAACCAAACGCGGAGUUAAAGCGCCUAAAUCGACGCUUAUGGGAUACCAUGAAAGGCGUUGGUAACUUAAGACAGCAGGACGGUGGCCAUGGAA